AUUGAACGCUGGCGGCAGGCCUAACACAUGCAAGUCGAACGGCAGCACAGAAGAGCUUGCUCUUUGGGUGGCGAGUGGCGGACGGGUGAGUAAUGUCUGGGAAACUGCCCGAUGGAGGGGGAUAACUACUGGAAACGGUAGCUAAUACCGCAUAACGUCGCGAGACCAAAGCGGGGGACCUUCGGGCCUCACACCAUCGGAUGUGCCAAGAUGGGAUUAGCUAGUAGGUGGGGUAAUGGCUCACCUGGGCGACGAUCCCUAGCUGGUCUGAGAGGAUGACCAGCCACAGUGAGACGGGAGCAAGGGCCAGACUCCUACGGGGGGCAGCAGUGGGGAAUAUUGCACAAUGGGCGCAAGCCUGAUGCAGCCAUGCCGCGUGGAUGAGGAAGGCCUUCGGUUUGUAAAGUACUUUCAGCGGGGAGGAAGGCGGUGAGGUUAAUAACCUCGCCGAUUGACGUUACCCGCAGAAGAAGCACCGGCUAACUCCGUGCCAGCCGCCGCGGUAA
rnacentral:rRNA from 1 species